rnacentral:rRNA from 1 species
GACGAACGCUGGCGGCGUGCUUAACACAUGCAAGUCGAACGGAAAGGCCCCUUUGGGGGUCCUCGGGUGGCGAACGGGGGAGUAACACGUGAGUAACCUGCGCUUGACUUCGGGAUAACUGCAGGAAACUGGGGCUAAUACCGGGUAGGAAUCCUUGCUGCAUGGUGGGGGGUGGAAAGCUUCGGCGGUUUUGGAUGGAGUCGCGGCUUAUCAGCUUGUUGGUGGGGUAGCGGCUUACCGAGGCUGUGACGGGUAGCCGGCCCGGGAGGGCGACCGGCCACAGUGGGACUGGGAUUCGGACCCGACUCCGACUGGAGGCAGCAGUGGCGAAUGUUACUCAAUGGGCGGGAGCCUGAUGCAGCAACGCCGCGUGCGGGAUGGCGGUCUUCGGGUUGUAAACCGCUUUCAGCAGGGGCGGAGCUUGUGGUGACGGUACCUGCAGAAGAAGCACCGGCUAACUACGUG